UACGGAGGGUGCGAGCGUUGUCCGGAAUCAUUGGGCGUAAAGGGCGCGUAGGUGGCACGAUCAGCGUGCGGUGAAAGCUCGGGGCUCAACCCCGGGUCGGCCGUGCGAACUAUCGAGCUGGAGCACUGUAGAGGCAGGCGGAAUUCCGGGUGUAGCGGUGGAAUGCGUAGAGAUCCGGAAGAACACCGGGUGGCGAAGGCG
rnacentral:rRNA from 1 species